AACUUUUGUGAUCACUAAAGCACUGUAAGAGUUUACCAAUAUACUUAAUAGUAUACAUAUAGGGCAACCAAGCGAUAUUACUAAUGCUGUGAAAGAACAGAAGCGCAGUAUGUGAUUUCUUUUGUUCUUCCUUUUUAUACGUACAUGUACGCGCUUAGACUUAAGCAGCUUGAGGAACUUUUUUUUUACACUCAUUCUAUGCUGUUUAUUUUUAAACUCUUCUUUUGUCAUAUGACGCUAGAAUUUGUCGGCACAUUAAAAUUAGCAUUCCCUUUACACUUACUUAACCUUUUUACUUCUAUGAC